rnacentral:rRNA from 1 species
UACGGGAGGCAGCAGUGGGGAAUAUUGCACAAUGGGCGCAAGCCUGAUGCAGCCAUGCCGCGUGUAUGAAGAAGGCCUUCGGGUUGUAAAGUACUUUCAGUCGUGAGGAAGGUGUUAAGGUUAAUAACCUUAGCAAUUGACGUUAGCGACAGAAGAAGCACCGGCUAACUCCGUGCCAGCAGCCGCGGUAAUACGGAGGGUGCGAGCGUUAAUCGGAAUUACUGGGCGUAAAGGGCACGCAGGCGGUUAAUUAAGUUGGAUGUGAAAUCCCCGGGCUUAACCUGGGAAUGGCAUUCAAGACUGGUUAGCUAGAGUCUUGUAGAGGGGGUUAGAAUUCCAUGUGUAGCGGUGAAAUGCGUAGAGAUGUGGAGGAAUACCGGUGGCGAAGGCGGCCCCUGGGACAAAGACUGACGCUCAUGUGCGAAAGCGUGGGGAGCAAACAGGGAUUAGAU